ACCACGUACCAGCAACCUAAAGUAAAUUGCUUUCGACCGCGGACAAUACAAGUUUAGUUCCAGCUGGAAUAACCAUCUUCCGGAAGUACUUCGCGGUUUACAGCCCAGAUAUGGCAUCGGGCAAAACUAUCAAGAAGCUUUGAUUUACCUCGGCUUCCAAUGGUUCUCCCGAUGAAGGUGGCGUCGCUGGAACAGAUUGCGGAUUUUUUUAAGCACACGCAAGCGGGUAACGGAAAAUUCUUGCGUUUGAUGAAUCUUUAGCGGCAAAGCGGAUCUACAACAAAUGUUAGUUAUUGGAUGAUGAUUGAGAACUACUCUGCGUUCCUUUUGCUCUGAAAGUGCCCAUGAGCCUGCAGGAAGCAGAAAGUAUUCACGGACGAAGGGCAGAUCAUUUUCGCUAACCGGCUACGGUUUCACUGUGCAGUGCAUCUACCAGAUACAUUGAAAAUGCAGACGACCGGUAAACGUCGGCGGCUAUCGACGGGUUUGAGCCGAACUGCGGGAGAGAUGGUGGUCCUGAGCCUUGACUUGCUGUAUUAGUAGUUUUAGCGAUGAUGAGGAUGUAGAAGAUGGAGGAUAAACACGGAAGCGACCUGCUAUUUUUAAU